rnacentral:misc_RNA from 1 species
GCCAUGAACUCGUAAACCAGCAAUUUAUGAUUGUUAUCCGAACAAUACCCAAGCAAUGCCAGUAAAUAUGGGGAAUGUAGGCGGCUCAGCAAUUCCACCUCCAUUUUAAAUUCAUCUUCUCCCUGUUUCCCUGCUUGAUCCAUGAAUUUCACUGCAACUUUCCUUCCAUCAUUGAGAACUCCACGGUAUACUGACCCAAAACCACCAUGCCCAACCAUAUUUGACUUGCUGAAACCACCAGUAGCUGAAUGUAGCUGCUUAAAAGUGAACACCUGAAGUCCUUUCUC